rnacentral:rRNA from 1 species
GAUGAACGCUGGCGGCGUGCCUAAUACAUGCAAGUCGAGCGAACAGAUGAGGAGCUUGCUCCUCUGACGUUAGCGGCGGACGGGUGAGUAACACGUGUAUAACCUACCUAUAAGACUGGGAUAACUUCGGGAAACCGGAGCUAAUACCGGAUAAUAUAUUGAACCGCAUGGUGCAAUAGUGAAAGACGGUUUUGCUGGCACUUAUAGAUGGAUCCGCGCCGCAUUAGCUAGUUGGUAAGGUAACGGCUUACCAAGGCAACGAUGCGUAGCCGACCUGAGAGGGUGAUCGGCCACACUGGAACUGAGCCACGGUCCAGACUCCUGCGGGAGGCAGCAGUAGGGAAUCUUCCGCAAUGGGCGAAAGCCUGACGGAGCAACGCCGCGUGAGUGAUGAAGGUCUUCGGAUCGUAAAACUCUGUUAUUAGGGAAGAACAAAUGUGUAAGUAACUAUGCACGUCUUGACGGUACCUAAUCAGAAAGCCCCGGCUAACUACGUG